UAGAAUUCUCUUCAUUUCUCUUCAUAUUCAUCAGCUGAAAAACAGCCAUGGAGGAGGGUUCAAGCUGGUUUUCAUACUCUAGCUUCAUGAAGGUAUUAGAAACAGGUGCUAAAUUUGGAAGUGCCUUUUUAACAUAGCAUCCAUGGAAGUGAAGGCCCCUGGUUUGUUUCCACAGAGCAUGUGACAGCCAUUUCGCUGUGCUUAUUUUUUGCAAUUUUAGAAACCAUGUGUUGAAAGAUGCAAUUUUUUGAUGUUAGGAUGAAGGGCCACCAGGCCUACACUUCGUAAAACGAUGGCCCAGCAUUUAUUCAUUUUUUUUUUAACAUAAAUCUCUCCUCUCCCAUACUUAUAGGAGGAUAAUUGAAGCUGUAAAUGAAUUAAGUUUGAAUUAAUAAAUUUUUUAUUAUGUUGGUUUGUUACUUUUAAA